UGGCUCAGAUUGAACGCUGGCGGCAGGCCUAACACAUGCAAGUCGAACGGUAACAGGAAGCAGCUUGCUGCUUUGCUGACGAGUGGCGGACGGGUGAGUAAUGUCUGGGAAACUGCCUGAUGGAGGGGGAUAACUACUGGAAACGGUGGCUAAUACCGCAUAACGUCGCAAGACCAAAGAGGGGGACCUUCGGGCCUCUUGCCAUCAGAUGUGCCCAGAUGGGAUUAGCUUGUUGGUGAGGUAACGGCUCACCAAGGCGACGAUCCCUAGCUGGUCUGAGAGGAUGACCAGCCACACUGGAACUGAGACACGGUCCAGACUCCUACGGGAGGCAGCAGUGGGGAAUAUUGCACAAUGGGCGCAAGCCUGAUGCAGCCAUGCCGCGUGUAUGAAGAAGGCCUUCGGGUUGUAAAGUACUUUCAGCGGGGAGGAAGGUGUUGCGGUUAAUAACCGCAGCAAUUGACGUUACCCGCAGAAGAAGCACCGGCUAACUCCGUGCCAGCAGCCGCGGUAAUACGGAGGGUGCAAGCGUUAAUCGGAAUUACUGGGCGUAAAGCGCACGCAGGCGGUCUGUCAAGUCGGAUGUGAAAUCCCCGGGCUCAACCUGGGAACUGCAUUCGAAACUGGCAGGCUUGAGUCUUGUAGAGGGGGGUAGAAUUCCAGGUGUAGCGGUGAAAUGCGUAGAGAUCUGGAGGAAUACCGGUGGCGAAGGCGGCCCCCUGGACAAAGACUGACGCUCAGGUGCGAAAGCGUGGGGAGCAAACAGGAUUAGAUACCCUGGUAGUCCACGCCGUAAACGAUGUCUACUUGGAGGUUGUGCCCUUGAGGCGUGGCUUCCGGAGCUAACGCGUUAAGUAGACCGCCUGGGGAGUACGGCCGCAAGGCUAAAACUCAAAUGAAUUGACGGGGGCCCGCACAAGCGGUGGAGCAUGUGGUUUAAUUCGAUGCAACGCGAAGAACCUUACCUGGUCUUGACAUCCACAGAAGAAUCCAGAGAUGGAUUUGUGCCUUCGGGAACUGUGAGACAGGUGCUGCAUGGCUGUCGUCAGCUCGUGUUGUGAAAUGUUGGGUUAAGUCCCGCAACGAGCGCAACCCUUAUCCUUUGUUGCCAGCGAUUAGGUCGGGAACUCAAAGGAGACUGCCAGUGAUAAACUGGAGGAAGGUGGGGAUGACGUCAAGUCAUCAUGGCCCUUACGACCAGGGCUACACACGUGCUACAAUGGCGCAUACAAAGAGAAGCGACCUCGCGAGAGCAAGCGGACCUCAUAAAGUGCGUCGUAGUCCGGAUUGGAGUCUGCAACUCGACUCCAUGAAGUCGGAAUCGCUAGUAAUCGUGGAUCAGAAUGCCACGGUGAAUACGUUCCCGGGCCUUGUACACACCGCCCGUCACACCAUGGGAGUGGGUUGCAAAAGAAGUAGGUAGCUUAACCUUCGGGAGGGCGCUUACCACUUUGUGAUUCAUGACUGGGGUGAAGUCGUAACAAGG
rnacentral:rRNA from 1 species